rnacentral:rRNA from 1 species
GAUGAACGCUGGCGGCGUGCCUAAUACAUGCAAGUCGAGCGAACAGACGAGGAGCUUGCUCCUUUGACGUUAGCGGCGGACGGGUGAGUAACACGUGGGUAACCUACCUAUAAGACUGGGAUAACUUCGGGAAACCGGAGCUAAUACCGGAUAAUAUUUCGAACCGCAUGGUUCGAUAGUGAAAGAUGGAUCUGCUAUCACUUAUAGAUGGACCUGCGCCGUAUUAGCUAGUUGGUAAGGUAACGGCUUACCAAGGCAACGAUACGUAGCCGACCUGAGAGGGUGAUCGGCCACACUGGAACUGAGACACGAUCCAGACUCCUACGGGAGGCAGCAGUAGGGAAUCUUCCGCAAUGGGCGAAAGCCUGACGGAGCAACGCCGCGUGAGUGAUGAAGGUCUUCGGAUCGUAAAACUCUGUUAUUAGGGAAGAACAAACGUGUAAGUAACUGUGCACGUCUUGACGGUACCUAAUCAGAAAGCCACGGCUAACUACGUGCCAGCCGCCGCAGUAAAAC